AUACGCUUCGGCAGCACAUAUACUAAAAUUGGAACGAUACAGAGAAGAUUAGCAUGCCCUGCGCAA
rnacentral:sRNA from 1 species